CCCGGGGCUCAAGCUGUCUAUUGCCACUUACCACGUGUCCAGUAUGGGACCGUGUCCCCUUGGAGUAUUUACUACAGGGUAUGGGAAACUGUGACCUUCACCUGCAACCCGGGGUACACCCUGCAGGGUCCCCGCAGCAGCACCUGCCGAGCUGGCUCCAGGUGGGACCCCCCUCUGCCAAAGUGCAAAAAGGAGGUGACAUGUCCUCGGGCACCGAGCAUCGCCAAUGGGUG